AGUGAACGCUGGCGGUAGGCCUAACACAUGCAAGUCGAACGGCAGCACAGUAAGAGCUUGCUCUUACGGGUGGCGAGUGGCGGACGGGUGAGGAAUACAUCGGAAUCUACUUUUUCGUGGGGGAUAACGUAGGGAAACUUACGCUAAUACCGCAUACGACCUACGGGUAAAAGCAGGGGAUCUUCGGACCUUGCGCGAUUGAAUGAGCCGAUGUCGGAUUAGCUAGUUGGCGGGGUAAAGGCCCACCAAGGCGACGAUCCGUAGCUGGUCUGAGAGGAUGAUCAGCCACACUGGAACUGAGGCACGGUCCAGACUCCUACGGGAGGCAGCAGUGGGGAAUAUUGGACAAUGGGCGCAAGCCUGAUCCAGCCAUACCGCGUGGGUGAAGAAGGCCUUCGGGUUGUAAAGCCCUUUUGUUGGGAAAGAAAAGCAGCAGGUUAAUACCCCGCUGUUCUGACGGUACCCAAAGAAUAAGCACCGGCUAACUUCGUG
rnacentral:rRNA from 1 species